rnacentral:rRNA from 1 species
AUUGAACGCUGGCGGCAUGCCUUACACAUGCAAGUCGAACGGUAACAGGUUAAGCUGACGAGUGGCGAACGGGUGAGUAACACAUCGGAACGUGCCCAAUCGUGGGGGAUAACGUAGCGAAAGCUACGCUAAUACCGCAUACGAUCUACGGAUGAAAGCGGGGGAUCGCAAGACCUCGCGCGAAUGGAGCGGCCGAUGGCAGAUUAGGUAGUUGGUGAGGUAAAGGCUCACCAAGCCUGCGAUCUGUAGCUGGUCUGAGAGGACGACCAGCCACACUGGGACUGAGACACGGCCCAGACUCCUACGGGAGGCAGCAGUGGGGAAUUUUGGACAAUGGGCGCAAGCCUGAUCCAGCAAUGCCGCGUGCAGGAUGAAGGCCUUCGGGUUGUAAACUGCUUUUGUACGGAACGAAACGGUCCUUUCUAAUACAGGGGGCUAAUGACGGUACCGUAAGGAUAAGCACCGGCCAACUACGUGCCAGCCGCCGCGGUAA